UACGAAGGGAGCUAGCGUUGUUCGGAAUCACUGGGCGUAAAGCGCACGUAGGCGGCUUUUUAAGUCAGGGGUGAAAUCCUGGAGCUCAACUCCAGAACUGCCUUUGAUACUGGGAGCUUGAGUCCGGGAGAGGUGAGUGGAACUCCGAGUGUAGAGGUGAAAUUCGUAGAUAUUCGGAAGAACAACCAGUGGCGAAGGCGGCUCACUGGCCCCGGUACUGACGCUGAGGUGCGAAAGCGUGGGGAGCAAACAGG
rnacentral:rRNA from 1 species